GCAGCCGUAGCGAAGUGGACAAACGCGGGGGACUUAAGAUCCUUUGGCUCAGGCCUUCGCAGGUUCGAAUCCUGCCGGCUGCA
rnacentral:tRNA from 1 species